GUGCACGCUCUUCUGUAGGAGACCCUCCACAGACCUCUAAAAGGGACUUAUAAGGACAUGGCAAGCCGAGGGGAGGCAAGGAGGGCGACGCCAAUCUUCAGCUACAGUCACACACACCCCAGUUGAAUGCUCCCUAUCAUCCAGUGUGGAGGUUCCACUUACUGUGCCCUCAGCAGAGCUAAAUCCUCAAGAGCAAUUUGAAAAAAUAUGGAGAGGCUCUCUGAUAUUUUGACAUCUUAUCCUGCUGCUGAGCCUCAGAAAAGCUCUGCAUCAUCAUGGUCUUUGCGGCAGCAGAAAGCCUCAGAGCGCUAGACCAUACCACCUAAAAUGCCUUAUUGCAAAAGAGGCUGAUGGUCAGCCGUUGUGUUUUCUUUACUAUGAGCCUGCUGUUAUUAGGUGCAGAGAGUGUCUUCCUGAGGAGUGGUUCUGUGGGGACUGUGAUGUAUUGCGACACAAAAAACAGCCACUCCACAACAGGGAACGUGUGAUUCAUGGGUUUUUUGAAGCAAACCCUCCAACCUCAUGCGUCAUUAAAGGGCAAGAUGGAUAUUGCAUCCGUGAGAAAGCAUGCAUUUCGCCAACAGUGAAGGUGCCAUACUGCUCCUGUGAAG